rnacentral:rRNA from 1 species
UGGGGAAUCUUCCGCAAUGGGCGAAAGCCUGACGGAGCAACGCCGCGUGAGUGAUGACGGCCUUCGGGUUGUAAAGCUCUGUGAUCGGGGACGAACGGUCAGCAGACGAAUACUCUGCUGAAGUGACGGUACCCGAAUAGCAAGCCACGGCUAACUACGUGCCAGCAGCCGCGGUAAUACGUAGGUGGCAAGCGUUGUCCGGAAUUAUUGGGCGUAAAGCGCGCGCAGGCGGCGCGCCAAGUCAGCGGUCAAAGUUCCGGGCUCAACCCGGUGUCGCCGUUGAAACUGGCGUGCUCGAGUGCGUGCGAGGAAGGCGGAAUGCGUUGUGUAGCGGUGAAAUGCAUAGAUAUGACGCAGAACUCCGAUUGCGAAGGCAGCUUUCCAGCG